rnacentral:tRNA from 1 species
CAACAAAUAUUUUAUUUAAAAUGUUAACCUUGGAUGUUAAUGAUGUGAAAAUUACUCACUUUGUUGA